CUGCUGCUACUGUUUUAUUCAGGCCACCUGUAUACCAGCAACGUUAUGGAGCCGUACUGGAACUAUCUAGAAAAACAGAACCAAAGAAAGUAAUAGACAUGGGUUGUGCUGAAUGCAAGCUUCUCAGAUCAUUAAAGUUUCACAGACACAUUGAAUCACUUAUCGGUAUUGAUAUAAAUGAGUCUUUACUUCAA